rnacentral:rRNA from 1 species
CACUCCUGCGGGAGGCAGCAGUGGGGAAUUUUGGACAAUGGGCGAAAGCCUGAUCCAGCCAUGCCGCGUGCAGGAUGAAGGCCUUCGGGUUGUAAACUGCUUUUGUACGGAACGAAACGGCCUUUUCUAAUAAAGAGGGCUAAUGACGGUACCGUAAGAAUAAGCACCGGCUAACUACGUGCCAGCAGCCGCGGUAAUACGUAGGGUGCAAGCGUUAAUCGGAAUUACUGGGCGUAAAGCGUGCGCAGGCGGUUAUGUAAGACAGUUGUGAAAUCCCCGGGCUCAACCUGGGAACUGCAUCUGUGACUGCAUAGCUAGAGUACGGUAGAGGGGGAUGGAAUUCCGCGUGUAGCAGUGAAAUGCGUAGAUAUGCGGAGGAACACCGAUGGCGAAGGCAAUCCCCUGGACCUGUACUGACGCUCAUGCACGAAAGCGUGGGGAGCAAACAGGAUUAGAUACCCCGGUAGUCCCA